rfam:Parcubacteria bacterium GW2011_GWA2_56_21 TY94_C0001, whole genome shotgun sequence.
GGAGACGCGCGNAAGAGUACACGGUGGAUGCCUUGGCCUAGGACGGCUAAGAAGGACGCGACUAACCUGCGAAAAGCUUCGGGGAGGCGGUUUGUAGCCUUUGAUCCGGAGAUAUCCGAAUGGGGAAACCCUCCAGUUUUGAACUGGAAUCCGCGGGGUAACGCCUGCGUGAAGCGAACCCUGGGAAGUGAAACAUCUCAGUACCAGGAGGAAAAGAAAAUAAAAAUUACUCUCUUAGUAGCGGCGAGCGAAAAGGGAAAAGCCCAAAUCCAGCCCCACUUUUACUGAGCGAUAUUAAAGUAUGCAAUAAAGAUAAUUACUGCAAAUACUCGAAAAAAGUAAAAUAUCGUUUUGUAAAAGUGGGGCUGGAGGUUGUAAGAUGUGAACAUUCCGAUUUAUCGGUAAAGAGUUACAAAUUGUCUGUAUAGCAGAAGCUGCUGGGAAGCAGCGCCCCAGAGGGUAAUGGCCCCGUAUGUGAAAUGCAUGACGACUCUUGUUCAUAUUCUUGAGUAACUCGAGACACGAAUAGCUCGAGUGAAUCUGCCGGAACUAACCGGUAAGGCUACAUACGUCCUAUGACCGAUAGCGAACUAGUACCGUGAGGGAAAGGUGAAAAGAACCCCGAGAGGGG